CUCCAAUUAGUUUAUAAUUUCAUGCACUAAAGAUAUUUGUUGUCAAAAGGUUAUAUUUUUAUGUUGCAAAGUACAAAGUUCUAAAAUAAUGUAGUAAUUUUCAUUGUAAAAUUUAGUUCAGAUGAGGUUCAGAAAGUCUAGCUUGGCUAUAACUGUUAUUAGUUUUCCAAAAAGUAUUAUCAUGAUUGUCAUAACAGAUUACUUCCCCUGAUUGUGAGUGUUGCUCCUCAUCAGAGCACAUGGCUUGUCACUGCCUCCAUGUUGGAGACAUUCAGCUGUUGUAGUUGGCAU